rnacentral:lncRNA from 1 species
UUUUUUUUUUUUUUUUUUUCGUCCUUUCUAGGGACACCCCCGCCGGUGGCUAUGGCUCCGAUUCGACCCCUAGGCUGGGAAACCUCCACAUGCCGCAGGGGCGGCCCAAGAAAUAGCAAAAAAAAGACAAAAAAAAUUAAAAAAUAAACUCAGAAGAGGAGUUCCUGGUGGUGCAGUGGGUUCAGGAUCCAGCAUUCCACUGCUGUGGCUCAGGUUUGAUCUCUGGCCUGGGAACUUCUGCAUGCCCCAGGCAUGGCGGAAAGAAAAAAAUGCUUAAACUCUGGGGCGGGGGAGUUUAACUCACAUGUGUGGAGGUAGAGGAAGUGUGAUGGUGGAGCAGCAAAGAACCCGGACUCCCAGCCAGGCUCACCCUGCACGGGCCAGGCCACCCCACCAGGCGACCGCUGGCUCUGGGGCACUGGGGUCUUCCGCAGCAGCCACCCACCUCCACCCCAAGACCCCCGCCAGCCGCAGGAACACUGCCUUAACACCCCUGCCCAAUCAAGAAAGCUUUCAGGAGAAGGGAAUUUAAAGGCAUCUCAGCGCCUCCCACUGGCCAAGAGGUGAAUUUGCCAGGCCCCCCCCCCCCCCCCCCCCCCCCCCCCCCCCCCNCCCCGUCCCCCGCCGCCUUCCCAGGGCUGGAUGGGGGCCGCCAAGUGGGCAGCCACACAGAGGUGACGGCAGGGAGUCAGAGGGAGGAGGACAAGCAGAGGGAAACAGAUACAGAGAGAGACAGAAAGAUGACUGAGCAGGAGAGAAAAACAGAGACCGAGCCGACAGAGCCAGACCCUGGCUCAGCUGUCCCCGAAGCUGUUGAAUUUACAGUCAAAACAGCUGAGGAGAGUCCAGACGUGAUAAACAGCAAAUUCAGGGAUGAUCUCCGGUUCUUCUCUGAAAAAUGAAUAACCAGCCCCAUCACCCAACCGAGGGGGAACUGGAGAGAGGGAUUUCCUAGGAGCCGCUUCGGAGACCAAGACCCCGCCAGCAGACCGCCCCUCCCCCCAUCCUGGGCAUGUGCACAGGGGCGGGGGAGGUGGCAUCGGCCCGGGGAGGGCAUGGAUUAACCCUGCUGACCUCCUAACUUCCCAUUUCCAGCCACCGAGGGCGAUUACCACCAAGGCCUGGAAGACGGCCCUGCCGUUAUUGAAUUUUAAAUGAAGCCCAAAUUGACUGCGGAGGCAGGGGAAAUAUUUCAUAACACAGUGAUUUUUCCUCAGAGUGCAGUUGCUCCAUCCAAUAAAACGAACUGGCUCUGGAAGCAGGCAGGUGCGGGGCAGCCCAGAGGACCCUGCUCCUGGUCGCGACCAAGGCGCUGGCCACGCCCACCCUCCCUGCCCCACCCACCAACCCCCUCCCCCCGGAAGCACCCUGGACCCUGCUUGCACCACCUUGGCCGCCUGCCCUCCUGUCUUGGACCCAGGGCUGCCCAGCUUCCCCUUGACCCAGCGGUUAGUGACCCAGGAGAGAGUGAUGGAGAGACGGGGUACCUUUGUCUUUCGUGAUGAAUCUCAGAAGCUCAACAUCCAUGCCGUCACCUCCACCGGGUGCUCUUGGUGACUUGGUUCUACCCUGGUCCAAGGCUGCUCUGGCAUGAAUGCAGGAGGCACGGAUCAAUGGGGCCACCUGGAGGCUGGCAUCUCAUCCAGGAAAGGCUGCAGUGUGGACAAGGACAGCAGUGACCUCGUGGGAGCUGGGGUCUGUGGCAAUCAUGGUCAUGGAUGUUGACAGCAAGGAGCCGGCUUGCUCAGCCAGCCACACUCAGCAUCCAUGGGUGUGUAAGGAAACUUCUACAAUCAAAGGGGUGGAACAAUGGUUUCCUUACACCCACUGAUUCUGUGAGUCAGGAUUAGACAGGUCACAGCAGGGCUAGCCAGGCUGCCUCCACUCCACAAGACGGGGGCCUUGGCUAGGAAGGUGACACUGUGUCUGAGCGCUAGAAUCAUCCACACGCUUGUACACCCAGGCACCCACCAAGGACACACACCCCCACUUCCCAUUCCCAGAAUGUGGCCCCAUCUAUCCCGAUCACCGUGGCCACUCUGGCAGGCCCAGAGCUCUGAAGAUCUGGAGGUGAGACCUGAUGCCGUGACCUAGCCCCUUUCCUUCAUUAUUUCUUUCUCUUCUGUCCACAGUUUUCAUUCUCUUCCCCAGCUCAACCUGAACGGCACAGGAUGGGCCAGCACUUCUGCCCCUCCUCAAACACCAGCCACGCGGACUUACCCAACGGCCCUGUCAGCAACGCCCAUCAGGCCUCAGUGACGGGCUUUGCAGUGGCCACUGCUCACCCCCCAGGGCCAGACCCCAGGUCUUGGUGAUGGCAGAGGGGGGCCCCAUAGAGCCCUCCCCAGCUGGGUCUUGGGGCACAGUGCUGGGAUUUCAGGGUACCCUAGGUGUCCCUGCGGACAAUGCCCAGGGUCGAGGGGAGGGAGGGGGAGCUGGGCUUAGAGGAGGAGGCAAAGAUAGCAUUUCAUCUCCUGGAGGCAGCCGUGCCUCCCCCACCUAGCCCACCUGCCACGUGCAUCCUAACCCCAGGAACCUGGGCAAGUGUUACUUUACAGGGCAAAAGAGGCUCUGCAGGAGAGGAGUUCCCAUUGUGUCUCAGUGGGUUAAGAACCCCCCUAGGAUCCAUAAGGAUGCUGGUUUGAUCCCUGGCCUCACUCAGUGGGUUAAGGAUCCAGCAUUGCCGUGGGCUCUGGUGUAGGUCACAGACAUGGCUCUAAUCUGGUGUUUCUGUGGUGUAGGCCGGCAGCUGCAGCCCCAAUUCAACUGCUGCCUGGAACUUUCAUAUGCUGCAGGUGCGGCCCUAAAAAGACCAAAAAAAAAAAAAAAAAAAAAA